ACGAACGCUGGCGGCGUGCUUAACACAUGCAAGUCGAACGGAAAGGCCCCUUUGGGGGUACUCGAGUGGCGAACGGGUGAGUAACACGUGAGUAACCUGCCCUUGACUUCGGGAUAACUUCAGGAAACUGGGGCUAAUACCGGAUAGGAAUCCUUGCUGCAUGGUGGGGGUUGGAAAGCUUCGGCGGUUUUGGAUGGACUCGCGGCUUAUCAGCUUGUUGGUGGGGUAGUGGCUUACCAAGGCUUUGACGGGUAGCCGGCCUGAGAGGGCGACCGGCCACAUUGGGACUGAGGUACGGCCCAGACUCCUACGGGAGGCAGAAGUGGGGAAUAUUGCACAAUGGGCGGAAGCCUGAUGCAGCAACGCCGCGUGCGGGAUGACGGCCUUCGGGUUGUAAACCGCUUUCAGCAGGGGCGAAGCUUGUGGUGACGGUACCUGCAGAAGAAGCACCGGCUAACUACGUG
rnacentral:rRNA from 1 species